UACGGGGGGGGUAAGCGUUGUUCGGAAUUACUGGGCGUAAAGGGCUCGUAGGCGGCCAACUAAGUCAUACGUGAAAUCCCUCAGCUUAACUGGGGAACUGCGUGUGAUACUGGAUGGCUUGGAUGUGGGAGAGGGAUGCGGAAUUCCAGGUGUAGCGGUGAAAUGCGUAGAUAUCUGGAGGAACACCGGUGGCGAAGGCGGCAUCCUGGACCGGCAUUGACGCUGAGGAGCGAAAGCCAGGGGAGCAAACAGG
rnacentral:rRNA from 1 species